rnacentral:tRNA from 1 species
GCGCUUGUAGCUCAAUUGGUUAGAGCACCCCGCUCAUAACGGGUAGGCUGUAGGUUCAAGUCCUACCGGGCGCACCA